CCUACGGGAGGCAGCAGUGGGGAAUCUUGCGCAAUGGGCGAAAGCCUGACGCAGCAACGCCGCGUGCGGGAUGACGGCCUUCGGGUUGUAAACCGCUUUCAGUGGGGACGAACCAAGACGGUACCCACAGAAGAAGCCCCGGCCAACUACGUGCCAGCAGCCGCGGUAACACGUAGGGGGCGAGCGUUGUCCGGAUUUAUUGGGCGUAAAGAGCUCGUAGGCGGUUCGAUAAGUCGGGUGUGAAACCUCCAGGCUCAACCUGGAGACGCCACCCGAUACUGUCGUGACUAGAGUCCAGUAGGGGAGCGUGGAAUUCCUGGUGUAGCGGUGAAAUGCGCAGAUAUCAGGAGGAACACCAGUGGCGAAGGCGGCGCUCUGGGCUGGAACUGACGCUGAGGAGCGAAAGCGUGGGGAGCGAACAGGAUUAGAUACCCUGGUAGUCCACGCCGUAAACGUUGGGUACUAGGUGUGGGGUCUUAUCAACGGAUUCCGUGCCGCAGCUACGACAUAACGUACCCGUCCGUCGGGUAGGUACGGCCGGCCGACGGACGUAAACCGUUAAAACGGUAAAGUUAGUACGGCGUGAGACGUCGCCGAACGGACGACCGACCGAGGGGAGGUAGG
rnacentral:rRNA from 1 species